GGGGCUGAAUUUUAAGCUCGACGUUGGACUUUAUCGGUUAGAUCAGCAGGUCGCUUGUCAGCGUAUAGGCAAACUCAGUAAUUGCAAAAUUCACUGAACGCGUAGUUGGUUUUGUAAACAGUGUAAAAACUGCUUUCAUGCCACUCGCACCAGCUUUAGCUUAAACCCUAAAGCCGUGCCGCGUGCGAUGCCAGAUAGCACAAAGGCGUGCCAUAUUUCUGGACGCUCGCAUUGAACCGUCCUAUCAAUGCGCUAAGACUUUGGACUGCGGGAACGGGAUGUUUGUUCGUUUUGAUAUCCGCUCCCAAAGACACUAAAAUGAACUAUGCCUGUAGAAGACUAAUCAGAUAAACUAGCGGACGCGGGGGCAGUACCCGCCAGCUCCUCCA
rnacentral:tmRNA from 1 species